UACGGGAGGCAGCAGUGGGGAAUAUUGGACAAUGGGCGCAAGCCUGAUCCAGCCAUGCCGCGUGUGUGAAGAGGGCCUUUUGGUUGUAAAGCACUUUAAGCGAGGAGGAGGCUCCUUUAGUUAAUACCUAAAGUGAGUGGACGUUACUCGCAGAAUAAGCACCGGCUAACUCUGUGCCAGCAGCCGCGGUAAU
rnacentral:rRNA from 1 species